rnacentral:rRNA from 1 species
GGAUGAACGCUGGCGGCGUGCCUAAUACAUGCAAGUCGAGCGAACAGAUGAGGAGCUUGCUCCUCUGACGUUAGCGGCGGACGGGUGAGUAACACGUGGAUAACCUACCUAUAAGACUGGGAUAACUUCGGGAAACCGGAGCUAAUACCGGAUAAUAUAUUGAACCGCAUGGUUCAAUAGUGAAAGACGGUUUUGCUGUCACUUAUAGAUGGAUCCGCGCCGCAUUAGCUAGUUGGUAAGGUAACGGCUUACCAAGGCAACGAUGCGUAGCCGACCUGUGAGGGGGAUACGCCCCACUGUGAAACAGAGACGGGCCCGACCCCCCUCGGGGGGAAAACUAUGGGAAUCUUCCCAAAAGGGGCAAGAGCCUAGGGGCCCACCCCCGUGUGGGAUGAAGGGUUUCUCAGAUUAAAAACCUCUUUUUUGGGGAGAAAAAAAGUGUAAAUAAAACUUCACGCCUUUAGGCGGUCCAAUAAGAAAAACCCCGCUCAAUCUCCG